GAGCUCUUUGGAUGUCGAUCCCCUGGCCCCAGGGCACAGCUGGGUUAGCCAGGCAGUCCCCAGCAUUCCCCCGGCGGGAUAUAUCGAUUCUCUGCCUCCGCAGGCUCUGAAAAGCCUCAGCCAUCACCUUCACCCCGUCGUAGUCACAGUUGGGAGCCUAGAGGAACUAUUUACUCCACUAUCCCCUGUGACAGCAAAAGAAAAAAAAAAUCCAAGAAGGGUCCUGAAAGAGCAUCCGGUAUCCCUCCUCUGUGGUUGUCAAAAUGUUGACCGCUGUCACCUGCCAGUUCUUCUCAGCAGCUGUGUCCAGUACUUUCUGCAGGACGGACAAACCUGGAAAUUGGGUCAGUUUGAAGUGAAUCUUCUUGAGCUAAAAUCAAGGUGUUGACGGGGCUGCGUUUGCGUUCUGGAGGUUCUACGGGAGAACAUUUUCUCACCUUUCCAACUUCUAGAGGCUGCUCGCAUUCCUUGGUUUAUGGCCCCUUCCGACUUCAAAACCAGUAGUGACUGGUCAAGCCUGUCACACAUCACCCUCUGACACUGACUCUCCUGCCUCCACCUGCCCCAUUUGAGAGCCCCUGUGAUUAUACUAGGCCCACGUGAAUAAUCCAAGAUAAUCUCUCUGAGGUCAGUGGAUGAACAACAUAUAUCCCAUCUGUAACCUUAAUCCCUCUUGCCAUCUAAUAGAACAUAUUUAAGGUUCCCCAAAUUCUCAGAGUAUAGGCAUCUUUAGAGGGGAAGAUGGAAGUCAAUUUCCUGCCUACUUUAGAUGGUUAUUUCACUCUUGCAUUACUCCUCAAUCUUUUGUGCGUACAUCAUUUCUGUCUCCCUGUAACACUGCUAAUCCCUCCUGCAGUGACCAAUAUGGUGCCUGGCAUUAAGAAUCAUCUACAGAUUGAUCGGUUCUGUUAUGCCUUCUUGUCACUGUUUCUUUUUUUAGUACAAGUUGUUUGGUGUGCUUAAGCCUCACAUUUACUGAAAACGUACUACGUGUCUGGUGCCAUUCUACUAGCUUUCUUGUUUUCAGUUUACUUAAUCCUGUGAGAUACGUAUCACUAUUAUCACCAUUGCACCACAGAUGUGAAAACCGAGGCUCAGAGAGAUUUAGUCAUUGGCCCAAGGUCACAUAGCUAGCAAAUGGCAGAGCUCUGAGCUCAGAGUUCUGAGACAGGCGGAGUCCUGUCACGAUCCUGGGUGCUUCUGCCAACCCAGAGGGGACUCUCUAUAAUCAAAAUUAUAUUUUUCUGGAUUUGGGGAAGUAGGUUUGCCCCUUCCAGGCCUCAAGCUUCAGUAGGCUGUGGGCUGUCAUGAAAUAUCCCUUCUGCAGGCAACCCUCCCAAUGACUGCUGUUUGAGAAGGGAAAUCCUCAAAAUGAGGAGAAUCGAGGGAAAAUUGAAGAAAACAGAAUGUUUCCGGGUCUCUUCUGCUAGCUCCUGCUCAUUGAAUAAUGCCUGCCUAACACUGCCCAAAACACAGUCUCACAAGCCAUUGUUCUACUCAAAAGUCUCGUAAGCCUUCCUACAGGAACCUCUUGCAAAACCUCCCUUUCACUCAGGGCAAAACUACCCUUCCUCAGUUUCCACACCUUGCACAAUCCAUUUAUUUAUUUAUACCAAUAAUGACUAGGUUCUGAAGACCGUUUAGUAUAUAAGGGAAAGGCAGGAGAGCAUAAUACAACCACCACAGGUAUCAGAAAAAAAAGAGAAAGUUCCCAUUUAAGGAUUAGGGGAUAGAGAAGCAGUGUUUGAGCAGCUGCAAAAGAGGAAGGAUUCGCAUAUGUAGAUCUGGGAAAGGAGGUGCAUUCCAGAAAAGAGGAACAGCAUGAGGAAAGAUGCAGAGAAGAAAAAGGCAUAGGAAACAUUUGGAAAAUGUGACGUAAAAUUCAAAAUGAAAGUGGGAACAGAACUAGAAGGGCCUGGAGGGGUGAUGGUGAUGAUGGUGAUGAUGGUGAUGGCAGUUAAUAAGUAUGGAGGAUUCUGAGCACUUGUAUCCCAGGCACUGACAGGAACUUUCUAGUCACCCCAUGCAAUCCUCACAGCAACUUUAGGAGGUAGAGAUUAGGUUCAUCUUAUGAUAGAGAUGAGGGAAUGAAGGCAUAGAAAAUUUUAUCCCCAACUCAUUCUGAAUUUUAACCCAAACUGAGGCGGAGAGAGCUUGUGCAAAGACAAACAGUGGGAGAGGAGAGGACACAGAAUUUAGAUUCAGGUUUGUCUGACUCUAGAGUCUGUGCUCCUAACACCUACACCGUAAGUCAUGAGCCAUUCAAUGGAGGCCCUUGGGCUUUGAGCCUGGACUCAGGAGCCAUGGAAGCUUGGCAAGCUGUAGAGUGGCAUGGUGUGUUAAGAGAAUUACUCUCUCAAAGGAUGUGUUUCCACACUGUGAGUUGGAAAUUAGCCAUGAGCAAUCAGUCCACAGAAAUAAAGAAUUUAUGGAUCAUUCCUCCCUUGCUUUUCAAUGAGGCAGGGAGGCAUCAUUCUCCUUCCUCUGGCAAUUUUCUCUCCAAUCUCAACAGUCUCCCUCCUCUAACCCUUGGCUUACCCCGGUCGGCAUCAUAAAUGUAGACGAAUUUCUGCCACUUGUAAUGGUCGAUGAUGCUGAUAAGAGCAUCCUGCAGCUCAGGGCGUAGCUGAAGG